UACAGAGGGUGCAAGCGUUGUUCGGAAUUACUGGGCGUAAAGCGCGUGUAGGUGGCGAUGUAAGUCGGGUGUGAAAUCCCUCAGCUUAACUGAGGAAGUGCACUCGAUACUGUGUCGCUUGAGUGUUGGAGGGGAUGGCGGAAUUCCCGGUGUAGAGGUGAAAUUCGUAGAUAUCGGGAGGAACACCUGUGGCGAAGGCGGCCAUCUGGACAACUACUGACACUGAGACGCAAAAGCGUGGGUAGCAAACAGG
rnacentral:rRNA from 1 species